GCCGCGGGCAGCCGCGCCGUGAGGCUGCUGCCCCGGUGGUCUCCUGCCAGCGCGGAGACGCUUCAUGUCUUACCUCAGAUGCGUUUCGGGAGGAGAAACAUGUCAAAUGCUGCCUUUAAACCAGAUCAGAUGGGAAAUGCAGGGUGUGCGUCGUCCACCGAGCAAGGACCUGCUUAUCACAAAAGGGAGCCACCAUGAAGGGAGAAAGAUGGCACAGUAUUCACAGAGGACAGCUUAUCCGAGUUACAGGCUGCACGGCACAGGAAUCUCUGUCUCCAUUCACUGCAGAGGGAGCCAAGGGAAAUUAGCUUUAGCAGGUGAAACAGAAAAUAAACCCUCUGGAAAGGGCACGACGUGACGCUACUAGUGUGAGCUUCCCCGAGGCCUGGCCCGUGAGCGGAGCGCGGGGCCGGCAAGGAAGAGGCGGCAGAGGCAGGGUGUAAGGUGGCGCGGGGGAGAUGCGGCCGUGCCCCGGUGCCGAAC
rnacentral:lncRNA from 1 species